UCCCUGGAGGACUAGUGGUUAGGCCAUAGCGCUCUCACCGCUCUGACCUGGGUUCGAUUCCAAGCCAGGGAA